rnacentral:rRNA from 1 species
UACAGAGGGGGCACGCGUUAUUCGGAAUUAUUGGGCGUAAAGGGCGCGUAGGCGGCUAUUCAAGUCGAGUGUGAAAGCCCCCGGCUCAACUGGGGAGGGUCACUCGAUACUGAUCGACUUGAAGGCAGGAGAGGGAAGCGGAAUUCCCGGUGUAGUGGUGAAAUGCGUAGAUAUCAGGAGGAACACCAAUGGCGAAGGCAGAUCUCUGGGCCGUAACUGACGCUGAGGAGCGAAAGCAUGGGGAGCGAACAGG